rnacentral:piRNA from 1 species
UAUUUCUCACUGUUUCAGUAA